AUUGAACGCUGGCGGCAGGCUUAACACAUGCAAGUCGAGCGGAGAGAGGUAGCUUGCUACUGAUCUUAGCGGCGGACGGGUGAGUAAUGCUUAGGAAUCUGCCUAUUAGUGGGGGACAACAUUUCGAAAGGAAUGCUAAUACCGCAUACGUCCUACGGGAGAAAGCAGGGGAUCUUCGGACCUUGCGCUAAUAGAUGAGCCUAAGUCGGAUUAGCUAGUUGGUGGGGUAAAGGCCUACCAAGGCGACGAUCUGUAGCGGGUCUGAGAGGAUGAGCCGCCACACUGGGACGGAGACACGGCCCAGACUCCUACGGGAGGCAGCAGUGGGGAAUAUUGGACAAUGGGCGCAAGCCUGAUCCAGCCAUGCCGCGUGUGUGAAGAAGGCCUUAUGGUUGUAAAGCACUUUAAGCGAGGAGGAGGCUACUUUAGUUAAUACCUAGAGAUAGUGGACGUUACUCGCAGAAUAAGCACCGGCUAACUCUGUGCCAGCAGCCGCGGUAAUAC
rnacentral:rRNA from 1 species